UGAGCCUGCGCUCUAAAGAGAGAGAUGCACCAUUUCACAACUUCAGCAAAAGCCAAAGCAGCCAACAAAGCCACAGCCACCUCAGCUGUGCUGGGCUCUACUGGAUGUGCUGGGCUCUACUGUUUGAGCAGCUCAUCGGCCACUCCCCAGAAGCAGAUCACUCGGUCUUUCCCUUUUUAAACCCACGUCAUCAUCUGAUCGUAAUAGAAAUCAAUCUCAAAUCACCAUGCAAAGGCGUAUCCAUGGCAACCUCCAGAGGAAGGACACAGAGAUGAUGCUCCAGUGGCUGCAGCAGAAAAAGCUCAGGCUCUGGCAAUAUACCAGGCAAAGAAUGUCAACCUCUACCUCAUAGCAAACGGUCAGUAAAGGCUUGCUGCUGUCUUCACUGCAAUAAAUGAGGUACCCGCCUGGCUUAGAAGUGGUAGCCAAGCUUGGCGGAAAAAACAUCGAUCAGGCACACAGCUGGACAACUAGGGCGUGAUAAGCGCAUGCGCAAUGAGCCUGGGAAGCUGAUAAGGACCUUCGUUGAGAGGUGCGUGGUGGCCAGCGCCCUCCGUCGGCAAAGGGAAGACUGUGUAGAAGAUUUGGAGAACCUUUUACAAGCUUUUGAGUGGUAAACUGCCAGCUAAAACAGUAGCAAUAAACCAUAUUUUGUUGGCUAGGCUGGAGAAAAACAUAAAUUUUGCUGCUACUCAGUGUCAGCCAUCAUAUGUGGAUGGAAACAUUCUCAUGCCUUUUUGAUGGUAAUGUAAAAUAAUUCAAAGUUUCAUAAUGGCAUUUGGAGCUUUUAUAUUCUAAAAAAUUAAACUUCUUGACUCAGUGUGCCCACUUCUAAUAAUGUAACCUAAAUAAAUAACCAAGUAAGUUUGCAAAAAUGUUUGUAUAAAGAUGUUGGGAGAGCCAGGAUUUCACGGACAUGGGCUCGAAUUCUAACUGCAAUUUACUAGCUAGGUGAGAUCUUGGGCCAAUUACCUAACUUCUCCAUGCCUCUGUUUCCUCAAUUUGUAAAGGAGGAUGUUAAUGAUCCUCUUUUGAGGAUCUGAUAAUAGUAUCAAUUUCACCUGAUUGUUAGGAGAAUGGAGUGAAUCUGAGUUUGAAAUAUAACUAUUACAAAGAUAUGUUUGUCUCAGUAAUCUCAAGUUCAAAACAACCCAAAAUAUACAUAAAAUUGAUGGUGAGUGGGAGUGAGAGGUAAUGAUAGAAGGGAUGAAUUGUUCACCCCUCUACUACUCAUCCUCCCCCCCCCAUUUCACUUUCUACAUUUUUAAAAUUAUUCUGAAUGAAUAAUAUUUCCAUAUGGUUCAAAAAUCAAAAUAAAUGGGCCUGGUGGCCUAUGCCUGUAAUCCCAGUGACUUGGGAGGCUGAGGCAGGAGGAUUCCAAAUUCAAAACGAGCCUCAGCAAUUUAGAGAGGCCUUAAGCAACUCAGAGAGACCUUGACUCAAAACAUAAAAAGGGCUGGGAAUGUGUGUCUGGAUUCAAUCCCUGGUACCAAAAAAUCAUCAUCAUCCUAUCAUCAUCAAAAUAAGAUUCAAUACACAAUGGAACAUUUUUCAGCAUUAAAAGAGAAUAAAAUCAUAGCAUUUGCAGGUAAAUGGAUGAAGUUGGAGAAUAUAAUGCUAAGUGGAGUUGUUAGCCAAUCCCAAAAAAACAAAUGCUGGAUAUUUUAUCUUAUUUAUAUUGGGGUUGGGAGGGGAAGCAUGUGAAGAUUAGAGGAACCCUAGAUAGGGCAAAGGGAAGGGGGGG